AGAGUUUGAUCCUGGCUCAGGACGAACGCUGGCGGUGCGCCUUAUGCAUGCAAGUUGAGCGAAGCUUUUUGGUAGUUUACUACUAGAAAUGACUGAGCGGCGAACGGGUGAGUAACGCGUGAGCAAUCUACCUUAGUUACUGGGAUAGCCCGAGGAAACUCGGAUUAAUACCGGAUAUUCUUAUUUUUUCACAUGAAGUUUUAAGGAAAGGUCAGCCGAACUAAGAUGAGCUCGCGUUCUAUCAGCUAGUUGGUGGGGUAAAAGCCUACCAAGGCUACGACGGAUAGCUGGUCUGAGAGGACGAUCAGCCACACUGGGACUGAGACACGGCCCAGACUCCUACGGGAGGCUGCAGCAGGGAAUAUUGUGCAAUGAGCGAAAGCUUGACACAGCGACACCGCGUGUGGGAUGACGGUUCUAGGAUUGUAAACCACUUUCAGGAGGGAAGAAAAUGACGGUACCUCCACAAGAAGACCCGGCCAACUAUGUGCCAGCAGCCGCGGUAAUACAUAGGGGUCAAGCGUUGUCCGGAUUUAUUGGGCGUAAAGAGCUCGUAGGCGGUUCAACAAGUCGGUCGUAAAAGUUUAGGGCUCAACCCUAAAAUGUCGAUCGAUACUGUUGUGACUAGGAUACGGUAGAGGUGAAUGGAAUUCCGAGUGUAGCGGUGAAAUGCGUAGAUAUUCGGAGGAACACCAAUUGCGAAGGCAGUUCACUGGACCGUGAUCGACGCUGAGGAGCGAAAGCUAGGGGAGCAAACAGGAUUAGAUACCCUGGUAGUCCUAGCUGUAAACGAUGGAUACUAGAUGUAGGAACUGGAUUGACGGUUUCUGUAUCGUAGCUAACGCGUUAAGUAUCCCGCCUGGGGAGUACGGUCGCAAGACUAAAACUCAAAGGAAUUGACGGGACCCCGCACAAGCGGCGGAGCAUGCGGCUUAAUUCGAUGAUACCCGUAGAACCUUACCUGGACUUGACAUAUAGGGAAAAGCUAAAGAAAUUUAGUGUGCGUAAGCGCCCUAUACAGGUGGUGCAUGGCUGUCGUCAGCUCGUGUCGUGAGAUGUUGGGUUAAGUCCC
rnacentral:rRNA from 1 species